AUUGAACGCUGGCGGCAUGCCUUACACAUGCAAGUCGAACGGUAACGGGCCUUCGGGUGCCGACGAGUGGCGAACGGGUGAGUAAUACAUCGGAACGUGCCCGAUCGUGGGGGAUAACGAGGCGAAAGCUUUGCUAAUACCGCAUACGAUCUACGGAUGAAAGCAGGGGACCGCAAGGCCUUGCGCGGACGGAGCGGCCGAUGGCAGAUUAGGUAGUUGGUGGGAUAAAAGCUUACCAAGCCGACGAUCUGUAGCUGGUCUGAGAGGAUGAUCAGCCACACUGGGACUGAGACACGGCCCAGACUCCUACGGGAGGCAGCGGUGGGGAAUUUUGGACAAUGGGCGCAGGCCUGAUCCAGCCAUGCCGCGUGCAGGAUGAAGGCCUUCGGGUUGUAAACUGCUUUUGUACGGAACGAAAAGCCUUCUUUUAAUACAGGAGGGUCAUGACGGUACCGUAAGAAUAAGCACCGGCUAACUACGUG
rnacentral:rRNA from 1 species